UGGCUUUGUUCCCAGCAAACAGUUUUUGUGGAAACUGGGUUCUCGAGGUGGUCAUUAAGCUCUGCAGUAAUUCUGGGAGCUGUACUUUUGUGAUCCUUUCUAACAAUCUGAGUAAGAGUCCGACAGUCCAUAUGAAAGUGUAGG